rnacentral:rRNA from 1 species
UACAGAGGUCCCAAGCGUUGUUCGGAUUCACUGGGCGUAAAGGGUGCGUAGGCGGCCUGGUAAGUCGGACGUGAAAUCUUGGGGCUCAACCCCAAAACUGCGUUCGAUACUGCUGUGCUUGAAGACUGAAGAGGAGAUUGGAAUUCACGGUGUAGCAGUGAAAUGCGUAGAUAUCGUGAGGAAGACCAGUGGCGAAAGCGAAUCUCUGGGCAGUUCUUGACGCUGAUGCACGAAGGCCAGGGGAGCAAACGGG